AGGCUACAGAGGCUACAGCUCUCAUUCGACCCCUAGCCUGGGAAUGUCCAUAUGCCGUGGGUGCAGUCCUAAAAAGACCAAAAAAAAAACAAAAAACAAAAAACUUAAAUGUCAGAAACCAGCCUUAGUGUGUGUGUCAUCCCCCAAUCCCCCCAAAACACAGGUCCGCACAUGUGCGUGCACAUACACACACAUACACACAUGCACACAGCCAGUCAGGCCUUGGAGCACCUCAUAUUUUCUCAGGGUGCAGGUCGUGUUUGUGAUUAUUGUUCACCUUCCCCACCAGGUUCCGAGACCCUUUGGGACAAGGUGCCUGUGGCCACUGCUGUGCCCAGCUCAGAAUUAUCACAUGGCAGGUGCCCCUGGGAACCUGUUCUGUGCGCCCUUGGCCCUGUGCUUGCCGCCCUUCCCCAUCUCCGAGUCAGACAGGCGCAGGGUGUGGGGAGCCUGACUAGAUAGGACAGGAGGGGAGAGGAGGGGGCAACUAUUAGAUGCAGACGUCAAACUCAGGUAGGUGUUGAGCAAGGUUUAAAGGUUGGAUCCUAUGAUUACAGAUUUAAUAUUAAACUUUAGUAAUUCAGGUUGUAAAUGUGAUGAGAAUAGCCUCCAAACGGCAUUUAAAAGCAUUUCAUCUUGGACUUGGCCUUGAUUCUAUAGAAUACAGUUUACCAUCUUUAGUAGCUCUUUUUUUGUUGUGUCAGGCUCUGAAUUUAGCCUGGUGUAGGGUGGCGUGAUGACAUGUAAUGUGUGCUUUUACCUUUUUAUUUCAGAACAUUGCCAGCAUACACAGAAGCAGAGAGAAGAGUAUAAUGAAACCUCACGUGCCCGACCUCCACUUGAACAAUCACCAACUCAGGGCCAAUUUUGUUUAAUACAUACCUCACCUCACUCCCAUUAUUUAGAAGCAAAGCCCAGAUGCCAUAUGGAUUUCAUUAGUUAAUAGCAAAUGUGCUUUUGAGUUUCAUUUCCAGAAUUGCAUCCAUGCCUGCAGUGUGGGUCGUUUGAAGGCUCUCGACGGCUCUGUGAAAACUACCGAGUCAUAGUUAAUGAGAAACCUGGGGAAUGAGGAGUUCUGAUUGAUCAGAUUUUCUGUUUCACUAAAUCAUGAGCUAGAAAACCUUUAUUGUUUAUAGAGGGGAAGCACCUUCUAAGAUAAAAGUCUACUUGCCUGCCUUAAUAGUCUGCCAUCAAGACGCAUGUGCUGAAGGCUGAAUUUGAACUCAGCUCAGGGGACAUAACGGUGACUUUAUUGACAAAGAGGACAAGAUCGACCUUGAUACUGAGUGAAGGGGGACAUACAGCAUGGCAUAGAAGAAGAGUGGCAGGGACCACUCCUGGGUAGGAGGGUCCCCCGGUAGGUGGCUCCCAGCCAGGACCCAGCAAGACACCAGAGUCAGCCAGGCAGAGGGGGCGAGACCCACGGGGAGAGCUCCCUUCACAGAAGACGUGUUGACCAACCACAGCACCUCCCUGUGCGUCCACCUUUGCUUUUGUCUAUUUAUUUAUUUACUUAGUUUGCUUUUUAGGGCCACACCAGCAGUAUAUGGAGGUUUCCAGGCUAGAGGUCAGAUUGGAGCUGCAGCUGCUGGCCUACACCACAGCCACAGCAACUCAGGAUCCUUAGCACACUGAGUGAGGCCUCAAAAGACUCUGCACAGUGGGGAUUAUUACCCUCAUUUUACACAGGAGGAAACUAAUGCUUACCUCCCAUGGUAGAGCGUCAGCAAACUGGCCGAAGACGGGAAGUUCUUCAACUAGUAAAGGCAUCUAAGAACACCCCACAGUAAACAUAUUUUUAAUGGUGAA